GAUGAACGCUAGCGGCAGGCUUAACACAUGCAAGUCGAGGGGCAGCAGGCCGGGUAGCAAUACUUGGUGCUGGCGACCGGCGCACGGGUGCGUAACGCGUAUGCAACCUACCCGUAACAGGGGUAUAACGGAGGGAAACUUCCACUAAUCCCCCAUAUUGUCACUUUCUCGCAUGGGGAGGUGACGAAAGCUUAAUUGUGGUUACGGAUGGGCAUGCGUGACAUUAGGUAGUUGGCGGGGUAACGGCCCACCAAGCCGACGAUGUCUAGGGGAGCUGAGAGGCUUAUCCCCCACACUGGUACUGAGACACGGACCAGACUCC
rnacentral:rRNA from 1 species